rnacentral:rRNA from 1 species
UACGGAGGGUGCAAGCGUUGUUCGGAUUUAUUGGGCGUAAAGCGCGUGUAGGCGGUUUCUUAAGUCUGAUGUGAAAGCCCUGGGCUCAACCCAGGAAGUGCAUUGGAUACUGGGAAACUUGAAUACGGGAGAGGGUAGUGGAAUUCCUAGUGUAGGAGUGAAAUCCGUAGAUAUUAGGAGGAACACCGGUGGCGAAGGCGGCUACCUGGACCGAUAUUGACGCUGAGACGCGAAAGCUAGGGGAGCGAACCGG